GAUGAAGAACGUAGCGAAAUGCGAUACGUAAUGUGAAUUGCAAAUUCAGUGAAUCAUCGAGUCUUUGAACGCACAUUGCGCCCCCUGGUAUUCCGGGGGGCAUGCCUGUCCGAGCGUCAUUGCUGCCCUCAAGCACGGCUUGUGUGUUGGGCCCCGUCCUCCGAUCCCGGGGGACGGGCCCGAAAGGCAGCGGCGGCACCGCGUCCGGUCCUCGAGCGUAUGGGGCUUUGUCACCCGCUCUGUAGGCCCGGCCGGCGCUUGCCGAUCAACCCAAAUUUUUUAUCCAGGAUGACCUCGGAUCAGGUAGGGAUACCCGCUGAACUUAAGCAUAUCAAUAAGCGGAGGA
rnacentral:misc_RNA from 1 species